rnacentral:lncRNA from 1 species
CUCAAAUUCCUUGUGUCCGAACUAUCUUAUCUCUAGUCUUGUCUUCCUCCAGAAUUGUUGCUGUGAGAAAAAUGAAGCUUACGGUACUGGUUUUGUUGGUGAUGAUGAUGAGCUUUUGCUUGGUGGAGCCAAGGAAGGUCGCUUUGGGUGGGACACAUGGACAAGAGCAGAGAAACCAAGUGGAGAAGAGCAAAAUCCCCAUCCGCGAAGAGAAAGGAAGGGAUGUCGAGUACAAAGAAGCAAGCAGUACUAUCGACAACCACCACACCAUUCCUAGAGAAAGCUACAGCCCGACCGGACCCGGAAGCAGCAUAGACGAUGGUAGUAACGGCUGAGUAUAGAGAGAGAGAGGAAGGUGUGUAAUAGCAUACAUAUAUGUGAGGUUCGAGUUCUGGGAUAUUAUCAUGUGAAAUAGUGAUGAAAGCCGCAACAUCGUUGCGUGCGUACUUAGUUUCCAGAACACCUGUUAGUUUUUCAUUCUCGGUUUGGGCUACUGAGUUGUCGGUAAGCACGUACAACUUUGUUAAUGCCUGAUAAGAAUAUGCGCUUGUAUUCGUAUGACUUUUGCCAACUAGGGUUUUAUAAUUUGUAUUUUUGCAAACUAGGAUUUUAUAAUUUGCAUGGUUGACCAAUCCUAUAUUAAGGGCUGAAUGAAGCCGCACGAGCUCAAUAAGAAUGUAAUGCAAAAGUCUUUAUAAUUAGCGGUAUAUAUAUGGCGCAGGAUUGUUGUAAUACAAUCACUUACCGGCUCUAAGAAGACUACGAAGGAAGAACACCAUAGAACCAGCUUUGAUCUUGGGUUAUGUGGAUGGAGUCAAGCAGUUAAUAUAUUGAAUGUAUGUUACUGAUUUCAGUACUGUGUUUAGCUACCAAAGCGAUAAAGUCUGAGAGUUCUUCUUUAGACGGAACAAUCUCAUGAAUCAACGAAAAAGUGAUAUUCAAAUAUUGAUUUAGAGAUAAUGAAAAAAUGCAAGCUUCCCCC